GGAUAUCCACACGAGAUUUUGAUCUGAUUAAAAAUCUUUUGAUCUCAUCGAGAUGAUAGCUCCCUUACAGAGAUCACAUCUUGAUGGUUGAAAAUCUUCUUUUCUUUUAAGACACUCUUAGAGAAGAAGAAGAGAUAAGAGGAUAUUGAUCUCUACACUAGAGAUUAUGAGAAGAAUCCUUUCUUCUCUUUUCUUCCUAAAAUCCAUGCAUCAAAUCUCU
rnacentral:lncRNA from 1 species